rnacentral:rRNA from 1 species
UACGAACUGUGCGAACGUUAUUCGGAAUCACUGGGCUUACAGGGUGCGUAGGUGGCCGGACAAGUCAGGUGUGAAAUCCCUCAGCUCAACUGAGGAACUGCGCUUGAAACUGUUUGGCUAGAGUGAGCUAGGGGUGCUUGGAACUGCCAGUGGAGCGGUGAAAUGCGUUGAUAUCGUAAGGAACACCCGUGGCGAAAGCGGCUCACUGGGUCUUCUCUGACGCUGAUGCACGAAAGCUAGGGGAGCAAACGGG